GACGAACGCUGGCGGCGUGCUUAACACAUGCAAGUCGAACGGUGAAGCGCCUUCCUUUUUGGUGGGUGUGGAUGAGUGGCGAACGGGUGAGUAACACGUGAGUAACCUGCCCCCUUCUUCUGGAUAACCGCAUGAAAGUGUGGCUAAUGCGGGAUAUUCUGGGUCUGUCGCAUGAUGGGUCUGGGAAAGAUAUUGUUUCGGUGGGGGAUGGGCUCGCGGCCUAUCAGCUUGUUGGUGGGGUGAUGGCCUACCAAGGCGGUGACGGGUAGCCGGCCUGAGAGGGUGGACGGUCACACUGGGACUGAGACACGGCCCAGACUCCUACGGGAGGCAGCAGUGGGGAAUAUUGCACAAUGGGCGCAAGCCUGAUGCAGCGACGCCGCGGGAGGGACGGAGGCCUUCGGGUUGUGAACCUCUUUCGCCAGUGAAGCAGGCCUGCCUCGUUUGUGGGUGGGUUGACGGUAGCUGGAUAAGAAGCGCCGGCUAACUACGUG
rnacentral:rRNA from 1 species